AUCAGUGGAUGGAAACAGCAUUACAGGCACUGCAGGGAGAGAGCCUCAGACACAAUGGGCUUUAUUUAAUGACUCCGCUAAGGCAGUUGUGAUGGGAGUAGGUCCCAUCCCCCAGUACAGAGACAGUAUCUCAUACUGCGCUCUUCUGCUGAAUGGAAAGGGAGCCGUUGCUGCCUGCGGGAGAGGAACGGAGUAUCCCACAAUCCUCCACUGCAGUACCGUCUACCAUGGAAACAGCUCGGUCUCACUGACAAUCAAACGAGUUAAAAUGAAAACGCCAGGAGCCGAGUUAAAGUAGCAGAGGUUGAUCUGAUCAAUGAAGCGCAAUUCAGAGACAGAACAAGUAAAAGUGGAAGAUACCAAAUGAAAAAGCAUAGGGGGAUCCUGAAACAAUGGACUGCAUACACUGCACUUCGUUGCUCCUCGAGCAUAAUUAUUCUACCUGUGUCAAGCUGUUUGGUACUGACCUUUUACACAGCCAUACCGCAUCUGAACGACCGGAACGGUUUGAGACAAAAACACAAGGUCAUAAAUUGCCCUCUAGGGGGCGCAAUUGAAAAGAUUCCCCUCGGAAGACAUUUAAAUCAAUUUCAGCCUGGCUAUAGUCUCUGCCUGUGUGUUCUGAGAAGUCAAGAGGUGAUCAUUGAAGUGGAGACUGGGCUGAGUUCAUGGCUCAGCUCCUUGCAUUGUGUUUGGUAUGCGUGUACUUGUCUUUGGUUUGUAACUGAGGACUCUUUUAUAGGCGCUGUAUUCACGGCUGUAGGACAAAUCUGCUAUUGAGUUAGAAGUAAUUCAAUUGGGAAAUGUCAUUUUGUUUUUUAAUGGUGCAGUACUUUGGGAUCGUAUUUCCUAAGGGAAUCGUUUAAUUGACAUAAUAACAUCUAGAACCAAUUGAUACACAUCAAGAAUUCAUUUCGGAUUAGCGUGUGUAGGUGUGUUAUUAUUUCAUUUAAAAGGACUCAUUUGUAAAAUAUGCAUUGUUUAACCUUUGUCUCCCAAGCCGGGAGUCUCGUCAAAUACUGUACUGCUAACGGAAACACUUUGCAUGAAGUGUCUCUAAUUACUGUGUAUUUACAUUGUAGUUACUUACUAAAUGCAUGUGUACUUACACACAAUUACAAUGUUAUAAUGAGAAUUCCUCAUCAACGUGAUAAAUAAAUAACCCCUUUACGAGCAUUAAAGGUGCAAAGUGUCACAUUUCUAGCGAACGGGUUUCAGAUUUUCCCAUGCAUUGGGUCUAAAUUCCCGAUCUGUUCCACAAAAGGCUGCGAGGACAAAACAGCUGUGAGUCGAGAAUUCUCCUGGAUAAUC